rnacentral:pre_miRNA from 8 species
UCAAUGUAUUGUCAAAGUGCUUACAGUGCAGGUAGUAUUAUGGAAUAUCUACUGCAGUGGAGGCACUUCUAGCAAUACACUUG